UCGUCCAGGAGCCCUAGCCAGACAAGAAUAUGGCAGAAGUGGAUCUAAGCAUCCUGGACAUCAUUCUAAGGAAACAUGAAUAGUCGACGUUUCUGCCUUCUGCAUCACUGGCUUUGCAAGGAAAACAGAGUCACACAUCAGUGUCUCCUGCCCUCAUGCGAUGGAAAGCGAGCGAGAGAGUUGAGACUCUGAGCAUUGUUGAUGCCACGCAAAAGCCAUCCUUACCUGUACUCGGUGUAGUAUUGUUCACAAGCCGUGUGCUUUCUGGUUGGCUAUGAGGCUGUGUGAGAUUACGGCUGGGGAGAGGCCAGAGUCUGCUAUGCAGAGUGAUAAUAUCGGUUGCUGUUGCAAGGGGUGCUUUUUGGUUGUAGUGCUGAAGGCUUAAUGUGGGGGACGGUUGGGGGAGGAGUGCUGUCCUGUGGCAGAAGAAACUGGUUCCUGACCAGCUGUGCUUACUAGACAGACAAGGUCCCCAUUUUCGGGUGCUGCUCAUUUCUCUGGCCAGGAGCGGUGUGUCCUCCGCAGCAGAAGGUUGCAUCUAGGAGGAUGAUUCCAGAUGGUGAGUUGCUUGCCUUCCUUCCAUCUUUCUCUUUCUUUCUCUCUCUCUUCACUUGGCCAACACACAGCCUCUAUCUCUCUCUCUCUGUCUGUCCUUGCCUUUCCUUGUGCUGUCUCCCUUCGUAAGACAGUGGUAGGCAUGCUAGAUGUGUAUCCCCAAAAGCCAGGUCUCAGGCACCAUGGAGAAGUAGGAGUGGACGAAAAGCAUGCGGGGCAGUGGGCGAUAAAGUGGAGCUGUGACUGUCGGCAUUUAUUCGGUGGGGGCCGAUGUAGAUGGGACUGGAGAGAGAGGCCAGGAUGAGGGCAAGAUUUGAAACACCAAUAGAGCUUUAAGUAGUGAUGGCUCAUGCUUGGCUUUUGCAGCUGCGCUUCCAGAGGAAUUUUCCAGGAGCCCUAUCUCGAGGAGAAAGUGGCAGAAGUGGACAUCCUUGUAAGCAGACAUGAACAGUCCUCACCUUUCUCACUCCCGCAUAACUGGCUUACCAAGGAGAAAGAAGUUGCGCGUCAGAGUCUACUGCCCUCAUGCAAUGUAAAGUGAGGGACAGCAGCGAACUUGUGACCCGUGUUGAUGCCAGGGAAGAGCCGUCUAUCUGGGAUCCGAGCAGACGCCACUCUCCGUGAGAUAAGUGUCUGGUUUGGUGAUUGCUGUGCUCGCGGUCCACCUUACUCCUGCUACGGACGCCCUGUGCUUACUAGACAGACAAGGUCCCCAUUUUCAGGGCUGCUCAUUUCUCUGGCCAGGAGCGGUGUGUCCUCCGCAGCAGAAAGUUGCAUCUAGGAGGAUGACUCCAGGUGGUGAGUUGCUUGCCUUCCUCCCAUCUUUUCUAGUGUGUUGGCCAACUUUCUCACUCUACUUUCCUCUCCUCUCCUAGUGCCGUCUGCCUUCGUCGGACACAGGCAGACAUGCUAGGUGUACAUCCCCACAGGCCAGGUCUUGGGCGCCAUGGAGAAGUAGGAGCGGACAUAAGCAUGCGGGGCUGUGGGCGCUAAAGUGGAGCUGUCACUAUCUGUCUGUGUUAACUCGGAUUCUGUUCAUCGAGUGAGGCUAAUGUAGAUGGGACUAGAGAGGGAGGCAGGGCUGAGGGCAAGAUUUCCAGCACCAAUAGAGCUCUGUGUAGCGAUAGUUCUUGCUUGGUUUUAUUAGUUUGCAGAGGAAUCGUCCAGGAGCCGUAGCCGGACAAGAAUAUGGCAGAAGUGGACCUGAGCAGUCUGGACAUGCUGCUAAGGAGACAUGAAUAGUCCUCAUGUUUCUGCCUUCUGUAUCACUGGCUGUGAGUAAGAGGUCAGUGCUUUCAAUUCCUCAUCUGUAGUCGCUGUAGUUUUCUUCCCAGGCCAUAUGCUUCCUCGUUGGGGCCGAGGCUCUGGGAUUAAGGCUCAGGAAGGGACAAGAGUCUCCUGAGCAA